rnacentral:rRNA from 1 species
CCUACGGGCGGCAGCAGUGGGGAAUAUUGGACAAUGGGCGAAAGCCUGAUCCAGCCAUGCCGCGUGUGUGAAGAAGGCCUUCGGGUUGUAAAGCACUUUCAGUUGGGAAGAAAGCCUUGGGGCUAAUACCCUCGAGGAAGGACAUCACCCACAGAAGAAGCACCGGCUAACUCCGUGCCAGCAGCCGCGGUAAUACGGAGGGUGCGAGCGUUAAUCGGAAUUACUGGGCGUAAAGCGCGCGUAGGCGGUCUGAUAAGCCGGUUGGGAAAGCCCCGGGCUCAACCUGGGAACGGCAUCCGGAACUGUCAGGCUAGAGUGCAGGAGAGGAAGGUAGAAUUCCCGGUGUAGCGGUGAAAUGCGUAGAGAUCGGGAGGAAUACCAGUGGCGAAGGCGGCCUUCUGGACUGACACUGACGCUGAGGUGCGAAAGCGUGGGUAGCAAACAGGAUUAGAUACCCCAGUAGUC